UCUGCAUUCUUUUGAUUUUUAUUAAAAGCAGUCAGGCUGGCUGGAAGCUAGCAACUAUUAUCUCAGGAACCCUUUUUCUUUUUUUUUUUUUUGGUGAAUUUCUAGUAGUUAUGGUUUUAUCAAAACAUAGAUGUGAAAAUUAGUCUUAAUUGAAUUGCUGGGGUAUGUUUGUCGAUGUGUCUUACUUACGUUGUGGCAGAAGUUAAACACUGUGAGCAGGCCGACAUUGACUUCCGAGGGCAUGAGGAGAUCUACUCUGAACCUGGUGGAGUGAUGGACUACGAGGAAGACCGAAGCCGACCAAAGAGGAGGCGACAUCCAAUGGCUUGAAGAAAGAGAAUUGAAUCCAUAGAAUUGGUUGUCUGCCAACUAUUGCCGUUUUUUUGUUCGUGGCAUUCCAACAACACUUGAUUGCAGAUUUUGGAGAGACACUCGUCUCUUUCGAAUUUGAACUUUCCUGUUAAUUUUGAACUCAAAUAUUUGACAGUUAGUUUGUAUUGGAACCAUAUCAUCAUUAUUCGUUUUGAGUCAACAAAGAUUAUAUUGGAUUUGAUAGUGCGGCUUAGAAAGUUAUAUCGCUAAUAUGCAAAGCGAUAAUUUCAGUUAUUGUGCUUUAUGAUGUUGCACUUAAAAAUCCUACUUUAUUUAUUUAUGGAAUUAACUUUUGCAAUGGAUACAAAAUGCUCGUGUC